rnacentral:rRNA from 1 species
AGAGUUUGAUCCUGGCUCAGGACGAACGCUGGCGGCGCGCCUAACACAUGCAAGUCGAACGAGCGAGAGAGAGCUUGCUUUCUCGAGCGAGUGGCGAACGGGUGAGUAACGCGUGAGGAACCUGCCUCAAAGAGGGGGACAACAGUUGGAAACGACUGCUAAUACCGCAUAAGCCCACGGGUCGGCAUCGACCAGAGGGAAAAGGAGCAAUCCGCUUUGAGAUGGCCUCGCGUCCGAUUAGCUAGUUGGUGAGGUAACGGCCCACCAAGGCGACGAUCGGUAGCCGGACUGAGAGGUUGAACGGCCACAUUGGGACUGAGACACGGCCCAGACUCCUACGGGAGGCAGCAGUGGGGAAUAUUGCACAAUGGGGGAAACCCUGAUGCAGCGACGCCGCGUGGAGGAAGAAGGUUUUCGGAUUGUAAACUCCUGUCGUUAGGGACGAUAAUGACGGUACCUAACAAGAAAGCACCGGCUAACUACGUGCCAGCAGCCGCGGUAAAACGUAGGGUGCAAGCGUUGUCCGGAAUUACUGGGUGUAAAGGGAGCGCAGGCGGGAAGACAAGUUGGAAGUGAAAACCAUGGGCUCAACCCAUGAAUUGCUUUCAAAACUGUUUUUCUUGAGUAGUGCAGAGGUAGAUGGAAUUCCCGGUGUAGCGGUGGAAUGCGUAGAUAUCGGGAGGAACACCAGUGGCGAAGGCGGUCUACUGGGCACCAACUGACGCUGAGGCUCGAAAGCAUGGGUAGCAAACAGGAUUAGAUACCCUGGUAGUCCAUGCCGUAAACGAUGAUUACUAGGUGUUGGAGGAUUGACCCCUUCAGUGCCGCAGUUAACACAAUAAGUAAUCCACCUGGGGAGUACGACCGCAAGGUUGAAACUCAAAGGAAUUGACGGGGGCCCGCACAAGCAGUGGAGUAU